rnacentral:rRNA from 1 species
GACGAACGCUGGCGGCGUGCUUAACACAUACAAGUCGAACGGAAAGGCCCUGCUUUUGUGGGGUGCUCGAGUGGCGAACGGGUGAGUAACACGUGAGUAACCUGCCCUUGACUUUGGGAUAACUUCAGGAAACUGGGGCUAAUACCGGAUAGGAGCUCCUGCUGCAUGGUGGGGGUUGGAAAGUUUCGGCGGUUGGGGAUGGACUCGCGGCUUAUCAGCUUGUUGGUGGGGUAGUGGCUUACCAAGGCUUUGACGGGUAGCCGGCCUGAGAGGGUGACCGGCCACAUUGGGACGGAGAUACGGCCCAGACUCCUACGGGAGGCAGCAGUGGGGAAUAUUGCACAAUGGGCGGAAGCCUGAUGCAGCAACGCCGCGUGCGGGAUGACGGCCUUCGGGUUGUAAACCGCUUUCGCCUGUGACGAAGCGUGAGUGACGGUAAUGGGUAAAGAAGCACCGGCUAACUACGUG